rnacentral:rRNA from 1 species
AAAUUGAAGAGUUUGAUCAUGGCUCAGAUUGAACGCUGGCGGCAGGCCUAACACAUGCAAGUCGAGCGGUAGCACAGAGAGCUUGCUCUCGGGUGACGAGCGGCGGACGGGUGAGUAAUGUCUGGGAAACUGCCUGAUGGAGGGGGAUAACUACUGGAAACGGUAGCUAAUACCGCAUAACGUCGCAAGACCAAAGUGGGGGACCUUCGGGCCUCAUGCCAUCAGAUGUGCCCAGAUGGGAUUAGCUAGUAGGUGGGGUAACGGCUCACCUAGGCGACGAUCCCUAGCUGGUCUGAGAGGAUGACCAGCCACACUGGAACUGAGACACGGUCCAGACUCCUACGGGAGGCAGCAGUGGGGAAUAUUGCACAAUGGGCGCAAGCCUGAUGCAGCCAUGCCGCGUGUGUGAAGAAGGCCUUCGGGUUGUAAAGCACUUUCAGCGGGGAGGAAGGCGUUAAGGUUAAUAACCUUGGCGAUUGACGUUACCCGCAGAAGAAGCACCGGCUAACUCCGUGCCAGCAGCCGCGGUAAUACGGAGGGUGCAAGCGUUAAUCGGAAUUACUGGGCGUAAAGCGCACGCAGGCGGUCUGUCAAGUCGGAUGUGAAAUCCCCGGGCUCAACCUGGGAACUGCAUUCGAAACUGGCAGGCUAGAGUCUUGUAGAGGGGGGUAGAAUUCCAGGUGUAGCGGUGAAAUGCGUAGAGAUCUGGAGGAAUACCGGUGGCGAAGGCGGCCCCCUGGACAAAGACUGACGCUCAGGUGCGAAAGCGUGGGGAGCAAACAGGAUUAGAUACCCUGGUAGUCCACGCCGUAAACGAUGUCGAUUUGGAGGUUGUGCCCUUGAGGCGUGGCUUCCGGAGCUAACGCGUUAAAUCGACCGCCUGGGGAGUACGGCCGCAAGGUUAAAACUCAAAUGAAUUGACGGGGGCCCGCACAAGCGGUGGAGCAUGUGGUUUAAUUCGAUGCAACGCGAAGAACCUUACCUGGUCUUGACAUCCACAGAACUUAGCAGAGAUGCUUUGGUGCCUUCGGGAACUGUGAGACAGGUGCUGCAUGGCUGUCGUCAGCUCGUGUUGUGAAAUGUUGGGU